rnacentral:rRNA from 1 species
UACAGAGGUCUCAAGCGUUGUUCGGAUUCAUUGGGCGUAAAGGGUGUGUAGGUGGCGCCGUAAGUCGGGUGUGAAAUUUCGGAGCUUAACUCCGAAACUGCAUUCGAUACUGCGGUGCUUGAGGACUGGAGAGGAGACUGGAAUUCAUGGUGUAGCAGUGAAAUGCGUAGAGAUCAUGAGGAAGACCAGUGGCGAAGGCGGGAUCCUGGCCAGUACUGACGCUGAGGAGCGAAAGCGUGGGAGCAAACAGG